rnacentral:lncRNA from 1 species
AUGAUGCGUUGCGGACGUCAAGGUGAUAUCCACCGGCGACGCUUGCUGGCGCGGGCUCGCCACCGGCAUCCACAAGCUCGCUGAUGCCGUCUCGGUCACUCUCGUUCCAAAGGUGUGUGUUUUUUUUGCUUGCUUCCUUUUGGGUCAUAAAAUUGCUUGUUUUCUCACUAUCGUAACUGCUGUCUUGCAACUGUAAAGUUCUUGCGAAUUUGAUAAUGAAAUUCAAUGUUAUGUGAAUUCUAAAGCUUCCAAUGAAUUGUUUUAGUCUCAUGUACAGUGUACUAGUGGAUAUUGCAAAUGGACUUGACACACUGUUACUUCAGAUAUAGGAUCGCCAAAUGAUGCCCGCUGCCUGCUUGCUCUUCCUUGUUAAAUCUGUUGCCAUUUGUUCAUUGAUAUAGAUGCUUCUCAUGUUGUUGGGAUCACAUAUGCCUGAACAAUUUGUUUUAUUGUCUUGUAGUGCUAUUGAUUGCUGAGAACAUAAAGGUUUGCUGCAGGGAGGAAUGUUGUUAUUGACGAAGAUGAUGUUCCUAAAGUAAUUAACACAAUUAAGCUUGUAAUGUACCCCCGCAAAGUGUGCCUUUAUUUUCUUUAAUCUUUUGAUGGAAUCUAAGUUUGAUCCAGAAAGUUCUGAUUUUUUUGCCAAUAUAUUGGAUGGGGUUGAUGGUACAUGACCUAGCCCUGAUAGAAGAGCACAUCUAUUUGAUGUAGAACUCAGGCAGAGCAUUAGUUCUUUUCUUUCAGUUGAUCAAUUAGCCGUGACACGAUCUUAUCUUUCCCAUGGUCUCACGCAUUUACGCUGCCCACUGUCUUUGUACUGUUUCCAGGAGGCCUCUAGAUUCAGGAAUCUCAUGCCCACUGUUAAGAGUGGCUCACCGCUGCAUCUUAACAAGGAAUGACUCCUACAUCGUCGCAGGGAUGUUUUUAGUAAUGUUGUCAACUAAUUGUUGCUAGAAUGUAACACGUACGACUGAUAUCAAGUUUCUAAUGAAUGAAAUCUUUAAUUUCUAAGAAUGAGGUGGCUAUUUCUUUCUCUGCGAUAUAUUGAGAAGCUUCUUCCCAAUUGGUAAUUUGUAUUUUGUCCUUAAAGUUUCAGCACAUAUGGCUUCUGUGCCUAUAAGAUUAUUUUAGGGAUUUAUUCACGAUAUUUUGUGUUUGCAAGUUCUAUGGUCACCUAGCACCGAAUUAUUAUUUCCCCGUGAACUCAUUAAAUUCCGCUCUUUGGUAACCAGCAAAUAUAUGUGUAACUUUAUGAAAAUUUAAGUCCCAUGUUUUAUGUGUACUGGCAACAACCAUUCUAUUACAAAAAUAGAUGAGCGCGGCAACGCGCGCCUUCCAUGAUCUAGUACUGAUAAUUAUUGACUACAAUUAAGGUGUUGAGGGUCAGUCCCGAGUCUGGUAUAUGCAUUUUUUUAUUUAUGCAGUUGUCCAUCUAAAAUGUUUGAAAGUGUAGCUCUCUUGUGAUAUCAGCUGACGCGAGUGACAUUUGCCAUUACAGAAGAUGAUAAGACUGCUUCGCAGCUUGACGGUCGAAAAGAAGAACUCUGUUCAGGUAUAUAUAUUCGGUAGUAACAUAUAUUGCAGUAUAUAUUUUUACAUCUGUGUUAUUGUCAAAGAGAAUUAGUCAGCUAUUGUGUUGUCAUGAAUAGGCUGACACUGGAUCAAAUAUUCAUUAUCUUGCACCUAUUCUUUAAUUUUGCAGUUAAGUUUGAUGCUUCCUGGUUGUCUAUUGUGUUAUUGCUGUAGAGUUUCUUUCCAUCAUGGAAAGCAUGCUAUGGUUGAGCAAAGCAUGCUAUGAUGCCAACAUCCAAAUGGAUGAAGAUGUAGGAUAUGGAUUUUACAUUAUUGUUGGUAGUCGUGAGCUGUUCUAAAAAUAUGUUUUGACUUCUGCUUGUCUCUUUCUGCUGGGUGUGCAAUGCCUAAUCUUUAAUGCAAAUAUUUGUGUCCAUUAUUUUUAAUCCCUAAUUUUAGUGCAAAUAUCUGUUCUAAAAAUAUGUUUUGACUUCUGCUUGUCUCUUUCAAGGUUUUUAUGUCAAUUACAGUAGUAGUAUGUUUUUUUUGCAUCGAUUACAGUAGUAGUACGAACUAAAACAAAUAGCUGUAUUGUAACUGUUAUGCAGUUUUUGUGCCUUGUUUCUAUUCUUGAUCUGUAUCUUGUAGCUCUUAAAAAUAUGGUUGUUUCUUCUACAGGACCUCCAGGCCUAAGAAAGUUGAAGUGCGAAGCCUUGAAGCCAAUUGUGUGAAGCUCUACUUAUCCAAGAAUGCAUAUUAUAUGUUGUAAUAAUA